CUACCAUUAGCCACCACCAAUCACCACCACCCCUACCACCAUAACCCGCCACCACCACUGCCAACACCACCAUUUCUACUGCCACAACUACAACCCGCUACCAAGACCACCACCGUUUCCACCACCAUUACCAUCGCCAAUACCUUCGCUUCCACCACCAUCGCCACCCCCACCACCAUUACCACUACAUACCGCCACCCACCACUUACCACCGCCUAAAUUUCAUAUUUUUUAAUUAAUAUAAUAUAUAAUUACAUAUAAGUUAGAAAACAAGGGAAAUUUUUGUCAUUUUAUAUGGAUCCCAAUUUCAUUUUCUAUGUACCAAACCAAACAUAAUUUGAAACUGCUUCUAAUUUCAUUUCCUGUCAACCAAACAACAAACAAGAUAUAAAAUUUAAUUUAAAUUCCUAACCGAUUUCUUUUCCAAUUUCAAUUGUAUUUCGAUUUUGAAAUAUUGUGAACCAAGCAAAAGCUAGGAUCAAGUUUUUACUUGAAGAAGAUUUGGGUCGGUGUGUUUUAUUCUAUAUAGAUUUGGUAUUAUUAAAAAAAAAUAGAGGAAGGGAAAAAUAGUUGUAUCUUUGAUUCUCUAACAUCUUCUUUUAGCUGUUCACAUAUAACCAAGACAGCUGACGUUGCCGACAGUACUCCUGAUGCUCCAUUACUACGGUUCUUGAAGGCAUACGAUUCUUUUCUAGCUCGGGACAGCUGACGUUGCAGCGGUCUAGGCAGCUGAGUCGCGUGCAUCUAACAACAUCGCUGGAGUCGAGUAACAAAUCAUGUGGGUUUUCAGCUGUGGUGGAUGCUAUGUUUUUUUCAGGAGACUGCAUGGCUUGAAAUUAUUGGUCGACCGUCGACGCCCUUAUUCCAGAUCAGUUUCUGUGAAUUGCUUAUUUUUGGGUUAGGUUUCUUGAAGGUGUUCCAAUAAUGGAUUGGCUCUGCGACUCCUUAGAUGAGGGUGAUUUGAACUACUCAAACGGGCAUUAUGAGGUGAUGUUUGAAAAUUAUUUUUUUUAUUGAUUAAGCCCAACAUACAACCAAUCUUGCUAUUGUCAAACUUGCAAAUGAUAAGCAAGAAGCCCCAAUCAAUGUUUUUGUUUUAUCUAUGCUUAAAUGGUUUUUAUCUCCUUCUCCCCCACUUGCGUUGAGUUCUUUUGUGGGUGUUUUUGUUUAGGUUUAACAAUCGCCGACUCCAAUGAAAUCACAGGGGACCAUGUCUCCAUCCAUAAUUGAUCGGGACAAGGAAGAGGCAAACGGAGCAGCAGGGAGAAUGGGCAAAAUCCUGGUGAGCCUCCAAGGUUUCUCUCACGCUGUCGAUGGUCACAAUCCACAGGAAGAAACAGCAGUUCAAAGAUAGAUCUAAGAAAAGAGCAAGAUCGGAAGCAGGAAGCCAACGACAAUGGCUUGAUGAGGGUUAUACGGUCAUGAGGAGGGGGAAUCGACUUCUCUGGUGAGCUCCUCUUGAUCCCUUUUGCUUCUUUGCCGGUAACGAGCCGACAGAGAGCAAUAAUAACAUCAGUAAAUUUUUAGGGUGGGUUGGGUGGUUCUGAUCGGGGAAACGCGUGGGGUCGUGAAGGUGAUAGCAGUCGGUACCUCCGACUGUUCUUCUUGGGUUCUUUCUCAGAUACUUCUUGCAACAAAACAGUAAGGAGGAGGGUGGCUGCAAACGCCGAUCAAUGGGGUGUUUGGGAUUGUGCUUCUCCAAUUGGAGGAGGAAUGGUCUCGGGGGUUUAGUAGAUCGCGACUUAAGGGGUUUUGCUCCGAUCGGUAAUUGGUUCUCUUCCGUUUUCCUUUCGUUUGACUGUUUGAUAGGAAUAAUUUGGGUGUUUGGGUUUGCUUGGGUUGUUUCUUGAGUUCACAUGGGAAAAUAGAAGAUAUAAUGGAAGGGUUGCUGCUCCUGAGCUUACCAGGUACCCAUAAGAAAACCACCUCCAAUGGAGGUGUUCUUGGUUGUGCAUCGAAAUAGAAAGAAAUAAGAGAAGGAGAAAGGUUGUCAUGGCCUAUGGGAUGGAAGAAGAAGGACCAGCAUCAAUGGUAUUCAGGGGGCUGUUUAUUUGCUUUGAUUGAUAGGUAGAGAAGAAGGAAAACAUUUUUGAUGUCCCUCUUGUUUUUAUAGAAAUGAGCUCCUCCUAUGGAGGACUUUGACAGUCAAUGAGAGAGAGACCCUUGCAUAUUAUUUCAUUUUUGAGAAAACAUCAUAAACGGUCCCUAUGGUAUUGAAAUGAUGAAAAUGCGUUGCAGUUAACAGAUAAAACUUAACGGAGUUAGGGAUAAGGACCAACUAUCAAAAGUUUUGAAAGCACAGGGACCACCUAUGACGUUUCUAAACCAUGGGGACUAAACUUCAGAUUUUGGGAAACCACAGGGACCAUUUAUGAUGUUUUUCUCUUAUUAAUUUCUUUUAACUAUUUUUUAAAAUUUUUUUAUUGGAUUACUUAUUAAAAAAAUUAUUAUAUUUUUUAUUGGAUUAUUACAUUUAAUUUAUUAUAUUCUAUAUAUAAUAAAUACUAUUUUUGUGGAUCAUUAAUUUUUUUUAAAUGUAUAUUAUUAAUUUUUUUAAUUUAUUGGUUCUACCACAAAGUCUUUGGAAUACGCAAAAGCACCGCAUCCCAUUGUCGAAAAUCAUAAGGACCACCACUAAUCACCUUCAUCGGAGGUCUAACAAAAACACUGUUGGAUUAAGUGUCUAAGCCCAUAACUAUAAUUGGUAUGUAGUUGACCCGAGAGUAGCAUUAUCCAUUUGGGUUGCAUAUCACCAGGACAAUUUCAUAGGAUGGACUUUUGAGAAGAGGUUAUUUAUGAUUUGUUAAUAUAUUAUAAGUUCAAAUAUAUUAAUAUGAAAUCAUAUGAUUUAAUUAGUAUUGAUCAAGAAUUAGAAAAAAAUUGCAAAAAUGGUCCCUGUGGUUGGCAAAAUUAUGUAGUUUUGGUCCAAAACGAAAUGGUGGUGCACCACUGGUCCAAUUUUAGAUACCUUAUGUGAUUUUGGUCCCUAUGGUUGUAUUUUCUUGUGUUUUGGGCCACAUCCCACCUAAAAUGACUAAGAUGCCCCUUAAAUAAAUAUAUUUUAAUUUCUUUUAUUUAUUUUCUUAUACUUAUAAUAAAAUGAAAACAAAAACAAAAUAAACCCACCUCUCUCUCUCUCUCUCGCCUGCUUCCUUUCAUCUUCAUCAGAUAGAUCAAACGGGAAUAUGUGGGAAAACAAGUCCGUUCAUCCUGAAACUAUACAAUGAACACAAGAACCCACCCACAAUUUCAACCAGAUUCGUUACCAAUCGUGAUUUUCAAGUUUGAGAUUUAACAAAUAUCGAGACCCAUCAUUGGGUCUCUUGGUCUCAGCCUGUUUCUUCGUCCUUUGUCAUGAACCACCGGCUGUAUUGGUGCUUCGGUGAGCCAUCGAGACAGCAACCUCACCUCUCGCACAUCUCUUCUUCUUCCGUCAAAGCAAAUGCCACUGAACCACCUACGACAUUUGUUUCUCGUCUGAACUCUUUUCUAGCCUCCUUCCCUUCGAAACCCCUAGCUAUACUGAGCCCCCCUUCCUUCGCAUCCUUCUUCCGAGACAAAAGAGCACAAGAGUUGCUCCAGUAUCCAUUGUUGCCCUCGCUUCAUCCUCCGCUUUGGAUGAGUAAAACACCGAGAGGCGGCGAUUUCUCUUCACGAUGAAAGAUAAGAGGUGACGACCUCUUGUGUUGCUCGCUCCUACUCACGAAUUCGGCCACUGGACCAUCAAUCGACCUUGGGGCUGUUCCCAUUCGUAUUUCUUUUUCUCCAUCAGACGAGGAUCUUCAUAAUUUUGUGUAUAUUGUGUGUGUGUGUGUGUUUAAGAAGAUGAAGUUAAAGAACCCAAAUGAAGAUUUAGAGAGAGAGAGAGAGAGCAAGAGAGAGAGAGAGAGUGUGUGUGUGUGUGGUGGGUUUUUUUAGUUUGAAUAAAAAUAUAUAUAAAAAAUGGAAAAACAAAUUAUAAGGGCAUAUUGGUCUUUUUAAGUAGAUAGGGACCAAAAACAAUAGAAACAUCCAAUUUUGGACUAGUGGUGCACCAACAUUUCGUUUUGGACCAAAAGCACAUAAAAUUGCCAACCAUAUGGACCAUUUAUGCAAUUUUGUCUCAAGAAUUAAUUUGGAAUUAAUUUUCUGAUAAAAAAGGACUAAUUAAAUAUAUGAGGAUUGAUUUGGUAAAUCAAUAAUUCUUAUAGUCUGAGCCAAUUGUUAUUUAGGAUGGGCUAAACCUAUAUGGUAGUCUAUGGAGGUUUAACCCAUGGAUCCUAGGUAAUAUAAGAGUCAUGGACAUUAGAGAUUACAUGGUGCUAACCCUAAUCUUGUCACACUAUAUAAGAAGCCCCUUAGCAUCCAAAAUCGUUCAAGCCUAUUUGAGUGUAAGAAUAUUUUCUCAAAAGUCAUUCUUUGUCCAAAGGUGUGAUAUGAUUCAAUUUGAGGUACAACACUUAGGGAACUAAGUUCUUAAGGCCAAACACAACAAGUUCUACAAGCCACAACCAAGAGGUAACUCCAUAACUCAAUGUUAUGUUGUUUAUAUCAUCCUUUGUGUACUCAUGUCUUGGAGAUGAACUCACAUAUUAACAGGCUGAGAGUAUUGGGUGUCGUUGUCUCAAGGAAGUUGGCUGUUGACUGGGUUCUUCAAUCACUUCCCGAGUCAUAUAGUGAGUUCAUUAAAGACUACUACGUGACAGAUCACGACUGACCCUUAUUGAUCUUACCUAUUUGCUUGUUGCUGCUGAAUCAACAAUGAUUUGGCGCACUAGAAAAGGAAAUUUGAUUGGAGGAUCCACUUCUCAAACUUCCAUGGACAUUGACAAUGGUAACAUUGGAAGUCCAGAAAAGAUUUCUUUUUCUAAUGGAAAUGGAUCGGCCGUAGUCAACCCGGUUGACCAAAUGGGACAUCAGAAGUGAAGCUGCCCUGACUACCAGAAAGAUCUGAAAGAAGGUAGAAUCAAAAAGUUUGACUCUGCUUCAGGAUCAUACAAAAGGAAAGAAGCUGAAAGGAAGAGUAUGUUAAAUCUGGUGGCGAAGAUGGAUUUCAAUCGCAUGGUUCGAUUGAGGAACUGACAGGGGUGUUUGGGCUGGACUUCUUGGUGCUUCAAAUAGUGAUGGUUCUAGUGGAAAACGAUCGACAUAGUAGCAAAUAUAAAAGAUUAUGAUGGAUUGUGAAGAGGUUGUCGCAGGUGGCUACUAGAUAGUGGCGUUGGGUGAAACAUGUUGGUAGUGUUUCUGUCGGACCUCCGAUGAAGGUGAUUAGUGGUGGUCCUAACGAUUUUUGACAAUAGGAUGCGGUGCUUUUGCGUAUUCCGAAGACUUUGUGGUAGAACCAAUAAAUUAACAAGAAUUAAUAAUAUACAUUUAAAAAAAAUUAAUGAUCCACAAAAAUAUUGUUUAUUAUAUA